rnacentral:rRNA from 1 species
AUUGAACGCUGGCGGCAGGCCUAACACAUGCAAGUCGAACGAGUGGCGGACGGGUGAGUAAUGUCUGGGAAACUGCCUGAUGGAGGGGGAUAACUACUGGAAACGGUAGCUAAUACCGCAUACCAUCAGAUGUGCCCAGAUGGGAUUAUCUAGUGGGUGGGGUAACGGCUCACCAAGGCGACGAUCCCUAGCUGGUCUGAGAGGAUGACCUGCCAAACUGAACUGUGGACGCGUUCCAGAUUCCUACGUGAGGAAGCGUGGGUGAAUAUUGCACAAUGGGCGCUAGCCUGAGUCAUCCAUGCCGCGUGUAGGAAGAAGGCCUUGGGGUUGUAAAGUACUUUCAGCGGGGAGGCGUUACCCGCAGAAGAAGCACCGGCUAACUCCGUGCCAGCAGCCGCGGUAAUAC